GAGAACGAGCAGGAGCAAGGGGGAAACCCUUCUCCUUCAACUACUUACAAGAACUCAAGAAUUAAACCUGAUUUUGGGGAGAAAUCGGAUGCAUGAGCUUAUAUUCCUAAUCAUCUAGACAAGAUGAACAUGUGAAUUGGAAUCACACGAGCAUGGGCCAAGCAUGGAAGGUUAACGGGUCAAGAUGAGGCAAGGAAGCGGUUACGAACACGGAUGCACAAGUGUAACGCAGGUACAACGAGGAAGUCUCACCACGGAAUGUAUAAUCAGAUAGAAAGCUGGGAUGUGACGAGAUAAUGAAAUGAAUAGUCAGUUGGUAUGUAAUGCAGGAAUGAGUACAUUGAAUUCCAAUGAAAAUUCAAGCCGAAUCCGGAACAAGGGAAUGCGAAGGGAUAGUUGAAUGAACUAAUGUCACAUUAUCGAAUGUUAUUCAAUUUUUAAUUAUAUGAGAUUAAUGUUAUAUGAUGUUGUCGUAGACUAAUGGUUAAGUUGUAUGUGAUGCCCAUAGGUGCUACUCGGACUUCUCCUGCUACUAAGGAUGUGAAGCGGAUGUAGAUCGAGUCAAGAGCAAGAAUUGUACGGAAAGAUCGGUCACAUAGUUGAAGUAUAUAACAUCUAGAAGUCUGAAUUUUUGUACGAACGUUGUGAAUUCUUUUUAUAGAACGUUUGACUUUUGAGAAAUUGGAACCUUCAUGUAAGUAAUGUUGUUGAUAAAGA